rnacentral:rRNA from 1 species
GACGAACCGUGCGAACGUUGUUCGGAAUCACUGGGCUUAAAGGGCGCGUAGGCGGGCCGGACGUCCGGGGUGAAAUCCCCCCGCUCACGGGGGAACGGCCCCGGACACCGCCGGCCUCGAGGGGGGUAGGGGCGAGCGGAACGCUGGGUGGAGCGGUGAAAUGCGUUGAUAUCCAGCGGAACUCCGGUGGCGAAGGCGGCUCGCUGGGCCCUCUCUGACGCUGAGGCGCGAAAGCCAGGGGAGCGAACGGGGAAU